UCUCUGUUAGUAUAUCGGUUAGUACACGCGCUUGUCAAAUGCGUGCGCGCGAAAGCGGGGUUCGACUCCCCGACAGAGAG